rnacentral:lncRNA from 1 species
UUUAUUCCAAACAUAACCUUAUAAACAAACAGUUGUUUAUUUAGAGUUAUUUAUUAUUGUUUUCUCAUAUUUUGCAAUUGUUAAGUUGGUUUACUUCGAAUUUAAUGUGCAUUACUGUGGUAUUUCUCCAGUUUUCUAAGAAGGUUGGUGAUUUUGAAUUGGGAUUAUGAUGAAUUUAACCCAAAGGCAAUGUGUGUGUUUAUUUAUGUGGCAAAAUUCCAGGCACCAUAAAAAUUUGAGUUUCUUCCUGUUGCCCAUGGCACAGCCCCAUGGAUGAAAAUCGGUUUGCAGAAUGAAAAGAAAUUGUUCAAUGUGAUAAACUUUCUAUGAACAGUCCUCAGUGUUGUUACAUUAACUUUUAAAUAUGCAUCUUGAGGAGCAGGCCUUUGCAGAAAUACUGAAAAGCGGGUUGCAAAACAACGCAAAAUAAAAUAAACGAAAUAUGUCUUGGAAUGAUAAUUUUGUAAUUCUGUAGGCACAUCUAUUGAGAAGUUACAACCAGUGGCAAAGUGCCUUAAGGGAAUCUAUGACAUAUAUAAUUGAAGGUAUGAGUAUAUGUUUCAAAUCGUUGGAUGAUUCUGAGAAAGUGUAAAUUUUUUUCAUGAAUUUGGUACAUAACCGUCUUUAUCUAAACUCUAAAAAUCAUUGACAUCUGUUUUGAAGAACCAUGUUCCUAGAAACCAUUGAUAACAAAUAUAGACGGUUACCUCUGCAUUCGUUGUAUCAUCUUACUACUCUAUCCAUAGUGAGUCUAAUUUUUAAAUCUAUAAUAAUUGUUUACGUGCUGGUUUCAUAAAGAUGCUUCAAAAAUCUAUAUGGGCCUUACUAGGCAGCACAGCCAUGCCUUUAAUAGUUUUUCCAAUAUGCUUAUUCUAGUUAAGAUUGCGGGACAAAAAGACCACUAAAUAUUUGAGUUCAUUUUUAGGUAUCAGCAUUGGCUCUACAGCCCAUGGUGGGUCUUGGCCUGUUCCAGAAUCAGCUUCCACUCUUUCCUAUCCUUUGCUUGGCUUUCCAAUUUCUCACUCGAGCAUGAAUUUUUGGUAUAUAUGGGAUUAUAUUGUGAUAACGACCAGAUCUAUGAAAGAAUAGUAUGUUGUUAAAGAAGAUUGUGGUGACACUAUUCAUGAAUAUCUGAUAAUAUUGGUUAAUGUGAAUGGAGUCCAAAAUGGGGUUUAGGCUGUUAUAUAAAAAACUAGGUCAUUAGCAUAUGGAAGUAGGGCGACAUUAUCUGGUAUUAAAUUAUGUGAAUGAGGAGAAUUAAACCUAAAAACUCUAUUUAUUCUGCUAAUCAAUAUGAAUUUAAUAUAUUUUAAUAUAAAACAUAUGUUAUUCUUUCUAGGGACACCUCCUCUGAAGGAAUUACAAUUAUUUGCCAGUAUGUCAAAUGAAUUUUCAACAUCAGUCAUACUUUCAUGAAUUUAUUGAUGAAAAUAAAACUAGGUACAUGAUUUAUUAUUUACUUCUAAGGGAUUCUAAGAUACUAUGUGUAAAAAGUCCAAUAUGCAGUGAUGAGCAUGCUAAUAACUGGCAAAAUAUGGGAUAUAACGCCAAAGAUGGGAAACAUGGGAUGCAUUCUGAAGUAAAAAGAGAUGAAACUGAGAGAAAUUAUUGAUAUAAACAUAUAAAUUAACAUUGCAUUACAUAGUUUCCCACCUUUAGACGUAUCAGAUGAGUAUGAGAACUGUCACUGUGCCAGGAGAAUUUUAUAAAAUACUCCUGUCACAGAGAUCUAAAGGUGGGAAACUAUGUAAUGUUAUCGUCGGCUAAGAGUGUUAACCUGCUAACUCUAUUUUUCACUGUGAGUGAUAUUGGGGUAGUUUCUAGGUCUGUGUACCUUCAUACCAUGUCCCACAAGCCCGCUGGUUCCACUGUAGUUUAGAGAUAGCUAUUUCUAAACUACAUUGGUGUCGGCGGGUUUGUGUGGUGGUGUAUGAAAAUACACGGACCCAGAAACUAGCCCAAUAUCACUCAAAGUGAAAAAUGGAGGUUAAAACUCUUAUCCAAGGUUAUGUUAAUUUAUUCGUUUAUAACGAUAAGUUCCACUUCUACCAGUUUCAUCUCUUUUUAUCUCACAAGUUAAUAUGUUUUCCAUCUUUUGCGUUAUUUUGCCGGUUAUUAGUGUGAGUGCUCAUUACUGUAUAUUUACGAUUCUGUGAUUUCUCAAUAUGAUGCUGAGUAGGUAUAGAUCUGAGUAGGUAUAUAGUAGGUAUCUACAACCCUUUCAAAACAGAAAUUUAUAAGUUCAUUUUAUGUACCUAUUAAACUUUAUUUUAAGGAUGAAUUUGAAAUGCUUGUAGGGAAUAUAUCUGUAAAAAAUAAAAUUGGUAUUGUAAAAUUGAAAUUCUCAAAAUAUAAUUUAUAAUUCGAA